AACGAACGCUGGCGGCGUGCCUAACACAUGCAAGUCGAACGAGACCUUCGGGUCUAGUGGCGCACGGGUGCGUAACGCGUGGGAAUCUGCCCUUGGGUACGGAACAACAGUUAGAAAUGACUGCUAAUACCGUAUAAUGACUUCGGUCCAAAGAUUUAUCGCCCAGGGAUGAGCCCGCGUAGGAUUAGCUUGUUGGUGAGGUAAAGGCUCACCAAGGCGACGAUCCUUAGCUGGUCGAGAGGAUGAUCAGCCACACUGGGACUGAGACACGGCCCAGACUCCUACGGGAGGCAGCAGUGGGGAAUAUUGGACAAUGGGCGCAAGCCUGAUCCAGCCAUGCCGCGUGAGUGAAGAAGGCCUUAGGGUUGUAAAGCUCUUUUACCAGGGACGAUAAUGACGGUACCUGGAGAAUAAGCCCCGCAAACUUCGUGCCAGCCGCCGCAGUAAU
rnacentral:rRNA from 1 species